GACUUAUCUGUGAAAGAGAAUUACUGUUACCAGCUGGGGGAGACUGUGAAUCAGAGACCCCACUGGAGGGCUCUUGGUGCUUGUCUGGUCCAUGUUAUCUUAAGCAAUAUGCCCAGAAAUCCAUUUCAGUUCUUCUUGGCUUGGUGUGUCUGGCAAAACCAGAAGAGAGAAGUGUGGGAGCCACAUCCUGCCACAUCCUUCCAUAGCCAAAGUGGGAAAGACUCUGUGUUUUACCUGGAUUUGCUGAGAGAAUAAAGGGUCAGUCUGUAAUAAAAACAUGCACCAAGUAACAAGUAUGCAAACUGCUGACUCUGGACACUUUUUGGUUCCCAUAAGUAGAAUGCCAAUUAUUCCAUCGCUUACUUUACACAUUUCCUAACAUUGUCCCUCUCCCAUUUUCUGUCCUGUGUUGUCAGUAGUUGAUUUUCCAUCAUCACCCUCCUGCUUUGCUCUGUGUUUCUCCUCCCCACGGCUGCUUUCAGAACUGCAGUUAAUUGCUUCCUCUAUAGAAGAUCUAGGGGCUUAGAAGGAUUCACUCCUCUUUUCUAUCUUUUCAGCUGUGGCAGAGGCUUACCAGCUGCAGAUACCCAGCAUAUGAAAUCCCAAAUUCUGUCUUGAUAUGACAAAAUUCUUGGCCUUAUAAAAGUUUUGAUUAUAUGCCAUUAAAUUACAGUUUCUAGUAUCAUCUAAAUAGUCCAAGUUACUUUUCUGUGUGUAUAAGCCUGUAAGCCCAAACCAGAAAGACUCUCUUCCUUCAAUUUAUUAGACGUGAUAGCUAAAGUAACACUCAUGUUUUUGUCAGUGGGUGCUAAAUCCACAAGGUGAAUAAUUAAAAACAAAAAGAUCCCCGGUAGUACAAAAGAUCACCAAUAUCAAGUUUUCCUCCAAAAGGGCAGGGCUCUGGACACUGUCUGCAUUUUCUACUCCCAAAGUCAGCCGAGAGAUGAGUGAGAACAUGCCAUUUCCCAUUUCAACAGAGAUGACCAGCACAUAUUUCUCCCUAUAUAAGCAUUAGGCAGCCAAGUCCUACUUCCUCUUUCCCUGCACACAGAUGCCAUGUCACCAGGGAAUCCUUGCCUUGUUCUUCCUGCUGAAAGGCAGAAUGGGGAGAAACGGUAAACAAUCUGUCUGCUACUCAUGAUAGGGUACAGAGUUCUGUACAGCAUGUCAAAUGGUGCCAACAUUUUCUGGCAACCAUGCCAUCACAAGUCAGGUGGCAGCUACAAAUCCAUGUCUCUGAUUCAUAGCUGAAGAUACUUUGGAAAUGUAAUCAUGCAAGAUUCAAAUGGCAUUGUCUGCCAGUACAGACCAGCCAGAUGCAGUGUACAGAUGUCUUUACCUUUUUGUGAGCUGAGACCAGAAUUUUUCCUAUGCAGAUUAUCAAAGGUGAGUCAUUCCAGGUUUAGAGGGGAGUUGAAGGAGAGCGUGAUGAAGACUGAGUCAAAUGAGGGAAAGUUCUCUCCCUCCCCAAGGGCUGAAAUGCCUUCUUGCUGUGUUCCUGCAGAAGCAAGCUCAUCUGAGCCCCUCUCUUUGUGUAUCUGGCUGUGCCCAGAGCUCUGGGAAACAUCCUUCUACUGUGCUGACCACUGCUCCAUCACUCCCAGCUCUCAGCCUGUUCAGCCCCCUCAGAAGAACUUGAAAAGUUGUGGUUUAUGCUGCAUAGCUACUUCAGUUCACCUGUAACCCUCCUUGUCAUUCACCUGCUGUCUGUGUCAGAUAUGUCUCAAAGAGGAAAUUGGCUUGUUGUUAUGAUUACUGUAAUAGUUGGGUGGUGAGCACUUCAGGUAAAACCACUGUACUGUUAAAUAAGUGGUUUUGCAAAAUGAUGAGGAAUCACUCCAGUGGUUCACAGUAUCUGUGGAAAAGACUGGAAAAUUGUGACCUGGCAAAAGUACGAUCUUGUCCAAGGUCAAAGUUAAUGAAUCUCUAAAGCAGGGGUGGGAUUUUAGAGUUGCAGUUUGGAGCUGUGCUGCAGCACCAGGGGGUGUAUCCAGGUAAUCUUUAAUCCCUGUACCUGAACUGGAAGACCACCAGUUGCUCUAGUCAUGUUAUUGUGGGCACAUUUUCUUUCCAGCAAUGCAAUAAACAGUGAGACUAAUGUCUGCUCUUUCUUACUUAUUUCCAGUGUUUCCCUAAAGAUAACAAAGAGACAGUUAUCACUCGAAGCCAGCCUGCAAAGCACAGAAGUACAGAAAUACAAGCUUUCAGCAAAUAAUGCUGCUCCAAGCGGAUAAUUACUGAUAUGUGCCUUUCUAGACCUUCUGAGCCAACACUCAGCACUCCAAGUACUAGGAUUACAGGUCCUAGCAGAGAUUUUGAGGAGUGAGGAGAUAAAAAGCCUUUUUCAGACUAAGGUGGUGCAGCCCUAGGGCUGUGGCUGGACAGAAGCUGUCUGCUGGUGUGAGUAGAGGGGGCUAUACCCAGACAUUAUGGGAACAGAGACUGGAUUUGUGGCCAUGAACACCAAGAAAACAAGAGGCAAAGAGAGGCAGAUGCCAUGCAGACAAAUGUUGAGGGGUCCAGCCUUGCUGUCAAAGGAUCUGCCAGUUCUGCACUGAAAUUCUGAGUGAAGUCUUGCUGGAUAAAGUACAUUAUAAUCAAUGGAAAGUCUGGUUUAAAGGCAACAGAUGUGUUUUACUGAAGAUUAUUCAGAACCACAGGUUGGGCCCUGCCACCUGCUGAAUUUGGAUACGAUGUCUGCAAAGCUGGUGUGGAAAUAACACAAAACAAAACUCUGCCUUUGGGAGAGAAACUGCCAAUGCCUUUGUAGCUACAACUGUCUCCCACAGAAAAUUACCUUUCUUAUUUUGUGAAAUAUGUACCCUCUCCAUACAAAUGUAAGCUAAGGUUAAAUUCCAGCUCUCAGAGCUCGAUUUUAUCUCAAGUCCCUGCUAAAAUGCCUCAGUACUCGAUUGGAGAAGAGCAUGAGGACUCUGCUCUAAUAAGACUUGCUUUGAGUGUGGAAUUGGACCAUGGACCUUCAUAGGUCCUUUUCAACCUGUGUGGCUGUAGAAUCAAAAUUAUUACAUCUGUGCAGAUGCAUGAACAUGGAAGUAUCUUUCCUUGUCAAAUUUGGUAAGGAAAGAUGGAUCUGUCAGUCAGGAAUACAAACAGAAAAGGACAACAGAGUUUUACUAGAAAGGUUGUUUAUUUUAUUGAAAGUUUGCUUGUAAAUAACUAUUAAAAAAAAAAAAAAAAGAAAGAAAAAAAAUUAGCCUGCAUCCAGACAAAUUGCUGUUGAAAUACCCAAUCUAGUGAUUCACAGCACCUCACCUCUGGAAGGAAGGCUUUUCCCUUCUCUUUUCAAAUGCAGUGUCUUCUCACUAAGACAUUGAUUCUCAAUGCAGCUAGAAAAUCCUCUUGAGCUUCUAAUCUAAUAGAGAGACCUGUUAUUUUAUGUCCUGUGUUCUGCCAGAAUCAUGUUUAUGUUGGACAUGUCUUGGAAACAAAUGCAGUUUUGGUCUAAUUUAAUAACUUGUCUUGGACAAUAAAGCCUUGAGUCCUGCUGCUGGCCCAUCAAGAAAGAAUCCUCUUGUGCAAGCAGUAGUAGCUGUGUUCAAAAAUAGUCUCCAAACUAUUGGGAAUAAACCAACACCCAAGAAAAAUGACAGUUUGUUUAAAAAACAGUCACUAAGUCUGUUUUAAAGUGAAUGAAACCAAAAUCUUAAG